rnacentral:misc_RNA from 1 species
UACGUAGGUGGCAAGCGUUGACCGGAAUUAUUGGGCGUAAAGCGCGCGCAGGCGGCUCGUUAAGUCCGAUGUGAAAGCCCACGGCUCAACCGUGGGGGGUCAUCGGAAACCGGGGAACUUGAGUGCAGAAGAGGAAAGUGGAAUUCCAUGUGUAGCGGUGAAAUGCGUAGAGAUGUGGAGGAACACCAGUGGCGAAGGCGACUUUCUGGUCCGUAACUGACGCUGAGGCGCGAAAGCGUGGGGAGCAAACAGG